rnacentral:sRNA from 1 species
GAAUUUCGCCAGAGCCUACCUCCUCCCAGGUUCUGACGGAUACGGCCGGCAUCCACCUCCUCCCGGGUGCCGGCCGACAAAUCAGCACCCGCCGAACCUCCUCCCUCGGCGGGUGCUGUCC